rnacentral:rRNA from 1 species
GGGUUAAUAUUCCCGUACUUGGUGUUACUGCGAAGGGGGGACGGAGAAGGCUAUGUUGGCCGGGCGACGGUUGUCCCGGUUUAAGCGUGUAGGUGUGUGUUCCAGGUAAAUCCGGUUCACUUUAACACUGAGGCGUGAUGACGAGGCACUACGGUGCUGAAGCAACAAAUGCCCUGCUUCCAGGAAAAGCCUCUAAGCAUCAGGUAACAUCAAAUCGUACCCCAAACCGACACAGGUGGUCAGGUAGAGAAUACCAAGGCGCUUGAGAGAACUCGGGUGAAGGAACUAGGCAAAAUGGUGCCGUAACUUCGGGAGAAGGCACGCUGACACGUAGGUGAAGUGAUUUACUCACGGAGCUGAAGUCAGUCGAAGAUACCAGCUGGCUGCAACUGUUUAUUAAAAACACAGCACUGUGCAAACACGAAAGUGGACGUAUACGGUGUGACGCCUGCCCGGUGCCGGAAGGUUAAUUGAUGGGGUCAGCGCAAGCGAAGCUCCUGAUCGAAGCCCCGGUAAACGGCGGCCGUAACUAUAACGGUCCUAAGGUAGCGAAAUUCCUUGUCGGGUAAGUUCCGACCUGCACGAAUGGCGUAAUGAUGGCCAGGCUGUCUCCACCCGAGACUCAGUGAAAUUGAACUCGCUGUGAAGAUGCAGUGUACCCGCGGCAAGACGGAAAGACCCCGUGAACCUUUACUAUAGCUUGACACUGAACAUUGAGCCUUGAUGUGUAGGAUAGGUGGGAGGCUUUGAAGUGUGGACGCCAGUCUGCAUGGAGCCGACCUUGAAAUACCACCCUUUAAUGUUUGAUGUUCUAACGUGGACCCGUAAUCCGGGUUGCGGACAGUGUCUGGUGGGUAGUUUGACUGGGGCGGUCUCCUCCUAAAGAGUAACGGAGGAGCACGAAGGUUGGCUAAUCCUGGUCGGACAUCAGGAGGUUAGUGCAAUGGCAUAAGCCAGCUUGACUGCGAGCGUGACGGCGCGAGCAGGUGCGAAAGCAGGUCAUAGUGAUCCGGUGGUUCUGAAUGGAAGGGCCAUCGCUCAACGGAUAAAAGGUACUCCGGGGAUAACAGGCUGAUACCGCCCAAGAGUUCAUAUCGACGGCGGUGUUUGGCACCUCGAUGUCGGCUCAUCACAUCCUGGGGCUGAAGUAGGUCCCAAGGGUAUGGCUGUUCGCCAUUUAAAGUGGUACGCGAGCUGGGUUUAGAACGUCGUGAGACAGUUCGGUCCCUAUCUGCCGUGGGCGCUGGAGAACUGAGGGGGGCUGCUCCUAGUACGAGAGGACCGGAGUGGACGCAUCACUGGUGUUCGGGUUGUCAUGCCAAUGGCACUGCCCGGUAGCUAAAUGCGGAAGAGAUAAGUGCUGAAAGCAUCUAAGCACGAAACUUGCCCCGAGAUGAGUUCUCCCUGAGACUUUAAGUCUCCUGAAGGAACGUUGAAGACGACGACGUUGAUAGGCCGGGUGUGUAAGCGCAGCGAUGCGUUGAGCUAACCGGUACUAAUGAACCGUG